AGCGAACGCUGGCGGCAGGCUUAACACAUGCAAGUCGAGCGGGCAUCCUUGUGGUGUCAGCGGCAGACGGGUGAGUAACGCGUGGGAACGUGCCCUUCGGUUCGGAAUAACUCAGGGAAACUUGAGCUAAUACCGGAUACGUGCGAGAGCAGAAAGGUUUAUCUGCCGAAGGAUCGGCCCGCGUCUGAUUAGCUAGUUGGUGAGGUUAUGGCUCACCAAGGCGACGAUCAGUAGCUGGUCUGAGAGGAUGAUCAGCCACACUGGGACUGAGACACGGCCCAGACUCCUACGGGAGGCAGCAGUGGGGAAUAUUGGACUAUGGGGGCAACCCUGAUCCAGCCAUGCCGCGUGAGUGAUGACGGCCUUAGGGUUGUAAAGCUCUUUUCUCCGGGACGAUAAUGACGGUACCGGAGGAAUAAGCCCCGGCUAACUUCGUG
rnacentral:rRNA from 1 species